AGUUCAAGGGAGGAAAGUGAAAAGUGUUUUUUUAACCUAAAUAAUACAUAUUUAUUUAUUUUUACAUAAUUAGAUAGAAGAAUAUAUUGGCCCGGGACCCAGUGGCGGGACGUGUGGUACAUUGAUGGGCCGUUAUUGGGCUUUUGAAACAUCCUAUUGGUGGGCCCAAUUAGGUUUAAUCUGGGCCCAGCAUCUGUAAAUCCUGCGUCUUUCUCCCCAGCAAUCUCAUUCAACGCUCCGUCAAUUCGCUGUUCGAUCUUCUUGAAUUUGGUUGGGAUGAGUUUGUUCAGAUUGUUCGUUUCCCGCCAAGAUGCGGUGAAUUGGUGGCAUGGAUUCUCGUUCGUGGUCGUCAGCUUCGUUUUCCUUCUGGUUUUUCUCUAUGCGGCGCUCGUUUCCAAGCUUCUUCCACCUUCUGGCAAUAUCUUCUUAUCUGCUGUUCAGAACGACUGGUACUACUGUCUCCUGGUGCCCUUGACAUUACCUAUCCUUUAUGUUGCCGUUUAUUUCCAUUGGCUAAGCAUGAAACUUUUCAAGCAUGCUUAAUCAUGUGAAGAUGCAAUUAUGUUUAGGUUGUGACUCCUGAGGUGAUUUAUUGGAGGCUUGGAGGCAUAUAUGAUGAUCACACCGAAUGAAUUCCCCAUCGACAAGACUACGAACCGUUUUUAGUCCAUCGGAAAUUCUUUCAUUGUGGUUAGAUGAGGACACGAGGCAUUCCAACUAAAGCUGAAAGCCAAGAGUGAUCUAAAUUCACACUGCCUAAGCACAGGCUCCAUAACCCAAGGUAAGUAUCUCCAAAGCCAAGCUUUGGCAACCAACUUAGGCUUGUGGUUGGUAUGGACAAUCUUGAAUCUUGAACAUUGUUCGUAUGAUUUUUUAUUAAUUAAAUAUUAUAUAAACAAGCCAACAAUAUAGACCAUGAUGAGGAGUCAAGAUAUACUAUUGUUCAUUUCUUAUUGUAAUUUCAAACCUUCAGUACCAGCUCUCUCACUUUAAACUUCGAUAAUUGAGAAUCGUUCGAUUGCAUCGACUCAAUUUCACACAAGAUAA